UUAUAGGUGGGGCUACACACGUCAUACAAUGGCCGGGUACAGAGGGUAGCCAACCCGCGAGGGGGAGCCAAUCCCACAAAGCCGGUCGUAGUCCGGAUCGCAGUCUGCAACUCCGACUGCGUGAAGUCGGAAUCGCUAGUAAUCGCGGAUCAGCAUGUCGCGGUGAAUACGUUCCCGGGUCUU
rnacentral:rRNA from 1 species